UCCCUGGUGGCUCAGAUGGUAAAGCGUCUGCCUGCAAUGCAGGGGACCCGGGUUCGAUUCCUGGGUCGGGAA
rnacentral:tRNA from 1 species